UGGGUCUUUGCGGGCAAGGUGAGUCCUCAUUUCAUUCAACUGGCCUACAAAGUCCCAGU
ensembl:miRNA mir193a-2 microRNA 193a-2